CGCAGGAGGUCUUUUGCCAAUCAGAUGUCGUCAUCACAGCGAAGGUUGUUGGAGCAAAGGCUGACGGAAGCUUAAAUCCCAUCAAGUAUGACAUCCAGCCAAUUAAGAUUUUCAAGGGCCCUG